CAAUAGCGUAUAUUAAAGUUGUUGCAGUUAAAAAGCUCGUAGUUGGAUUUCUGGUGGAGCGAUCGGUCUGGCGCUUAGCGCGAGUACUUGCAUCGUCUCCGGCCAUCCUUGGGGAGAGUCUGUCUGGCAUUAAGUUGUCGGGCAGAGGAUCCUCAUCGUUUACUGUGAAAAAAUUAGAGUGUUCAAAGCAGGCUUAUGCCGUUGAAUAUAUUAGCAUGGAAUAAUAAGAUAGGACUUUGGUACUAUUUUGUUGGUUUGCGCACCAAAGUAAUGAUUAAUAGGGACAGUUGGGGGUAUUCGUAUUCCGUUGUCAGAGGUGAAAUUCUUGGAUUUACGGAAGACGAACUACUGCGAAAGCAUUUACCAAGGAUGUUUUCAUUAA
rnacentral:rRNA from 1 species